UUUUUUCCAAUUUUCUCAGUUUGAUCACCUCCGCGUGGCCACCCGGUCCAUGUGGCGUCAGUCCCUCCGCGCAGAUCCCGGAUGGAGCGGCCAUUGGGCGGAAGUGAACAGAGGUGCACAAUAACUGCGGGCUGGGAAGAGGAAAAAAAAUAUUUAUACACUUUGAAAUAAAUUUACACUCGGCGUGUGACAACAUUGGAUUAAACCCCAAAACCGCAGAGCCUCUGACCCUCUCAGAAACAUCCUCAGGCUGGACUUUUAGUGCGCUCGAGAGGACCGGAUCGCCGAAAUCAAGUCGUGGAACUUGCUGAAAAAAAGCGCAGUUCACCCUGCACGGAGCCGCGAGGAACCCACGGGCUUCGGGUUACGCCGAGCACCCUCGCUGUUGCUUCUUUUUUCUUUGCAAGACUCUUGCUGAACCUAAAGAGGCCCUCUUGAUGAAUUAUGUCUACCACCAGUAUUGACCCACAGACAUCCAAAGGGCAAGACGCUAAAGUGCAAAAUGGCUCUCUUCAUCAGAAGGAAACGGUCCAUGACAAUGACUUUGAACCAUACCUCACUGGCCAGUCUAAUCCGAAUAACAGUUACCAAUCAAUGACCGACCCAUACCUGUCUAGCUACUAUGCCCCCUCGAUUGGAUUCCCGUACCCCCUCAGCGAGGCCCCCUGGUCCACUGGCGGAGAUCCGCCAAUCCCGUACCUCACUCCUUACGCCCCCCUCAGCAAUGGGGAUCAUCACUUCAUGCAUGACACUGUGUUCGGACAGCCAGGGGGUCUGGGCAGUAGCAUCUAUCCACACCGCUUUAACUUUUUCCCUGAAAACCCAGCAUUUUCUGCCUGGGGUACAAGCGGCUCCCAGGGCCAGCAGACUCAGAGUUCUGCAUACGGGGGCAGUUACAGUUACCCGCCCAGUUCAUUAGGUGGCACCCUGGUACCUGACGGGCAAACGGGCUUCCCAAGCGACACCCUGAAUAAGGCGCCAGGUAUGAAUAGCUUAGAGCAGGGCAUGGUAGGGUUGAAGAUUGGCGGUGAUAUGACUGGAGGUGGUUCCGGAGUGAAGACGGUGGGCUCUGUGAUCGGUGGAGGGCCGGUAGCCACGGGUAACGGCGGGACUCCAAUCGGGAUGCCGCCUCCCAAACCCACGUCCUGGGCGGCCAUUGCGAGCAAACCGGCCAAGCCUCAGCAACUGAAAGUCAAGAGCAAGCCGGGGAUGCCCAUGGCUGGAGGCACACUGCCCCCACCACCCAUCAAACACAACAUGGAUAUUGGCACCUGGGAUAAUAAGGGGCCUGUGACUAAAGUGGCCUCACCACUGCCGCCCCACCACCACCAGCAGCAGCCUCUGCUCCACUCCCAGGGUCACCUACCGCCUCACCAUCACGGGCUCCCGCCUCCACCUCAGCCCCCUAUACCGUCUGCCCAAUCACUUGCUCAGCAGAUGGCGAUGCAAGGUCCGCCCCCUCCACAGCCUUACCAGAACCACACCCCUGCUCCUCCCCCUCAAACCCGGUGGGUUGCCCCACGUAACCGCAACCCUGGUUAUGGUGGGGGCGGCAGCGUGGACAGCAGUGGCUCGUCGAGCGGCGGAGGGGUCGGCAACGGUGGUGGCGGCGGACCUCCGGGUUCCGGUGCUAUCGAAUCCCACCCGGUCCUUGAAAAGUUGCGUGCGGCGCACAGCUACAAUCCCAAGGACUUUGAUUGGAACCUGAAAAAUGGCCGGGUUUUCAUCAUUAAGAGCUACUCGGAGGACGACAUCCACCGCUCCAUCAAGUACUCCAUCUGGUGCAGCACGGAACACGGUAACAAGCGGCUGGAUUCGGCCUUUCGCGUCAUCAACGGCAAGGGUCCUGUCUAUCUGCUGUUCAGUGUCAAUGGCAGCGGACACUUCUGCGGCGUGGCAGAGAUGCGCUCACCUGUAGACUACGGCACCAGUGCCGGCGUUUGGGCACAGGACAAGUGGAAGGGCAAAUUCGAUGUGGACUGGCUGUUUGUUAAAGACGUGCCCAACAGCCAGCUCAGGCACAUCCGCCUAGAGAACAAUGACAACAAGCCCGUGACCAACUCCCGUGACACGCAGGAGGUGCCUCUGGAGAAGGCCAAGCAGGUGCUGAAGAUCAUCGCCACCUACAAACACACCACCUCCAUCUUCGAUGACUUCUCACACUACGAGAAACGGCAGGAGGAGGAAGAGGUGGUAAGAAAGAACCUAGAGCCUGCUCCUCUCCAAAACCGAUCCCGACUUGAUCAAGAACGCCAGAACCGAAAUAAACAAUAGAAGGCUGCCCCCUACAUAUGAUGAGCAGUUGUUUUAGGACUGACCAUUUGAAGAUUAAAUUUAAAGAGGACACAAGAUGAAAUAUAAAAAAAUAAACAAUCAUUAUGUUUUUCUAUUUAAUUCUGGUGACUUCAGCCAGCAUCAGACUCGAGCCUCUGCGCCUCCGGCUUCACCUGUGGGGGCUGAAGUCGAUUAGCACCUCUCAACGUCGCGUCAUCAUUUUGAUUUCUUUUUUUUCUUUCUCUUCUUUUCUGUCGUUUGGUAUUGUUUUCAUACACCUCCCUCCCCCCUUUGACCAACUGAUAUCUGCACAAGUCUUUUAUUUCGUCCUAUAUUUUUGUUUCUUCAGCCCCACUGCUCCUCAUCAUGCCCUUCAGAGUUGGUUAAAUGAGUGGGUAGUGAAUUCUGUGAUGUAUGUGUGUGUAUCAGGAGGGAUGAUGGUGGAGUGUAUGUUAGUCAUGUGAUAUGGCAGAGGUAAGGGAGUGGGGGGUGUUCAGACUCGAUCUGGUUUGGGGGGCAUCUCCAGCAUCAGUAGCUGUAAUGGGCCAGUUUUACGUUCUGUAGAUCCAGAGUGGUUUGAACCCAUUUGUGGAGAAUUGUGCAACUGCAUAGAAGGGACAAUGACAUGUCUUGACAAGAUAAUGUUAUAAAAAAAAUAAUAUUUUUGAAUUAUGUAACACUUGACAUUUUGUUCAGUGACAAGCCACUUAUGUCACAGGUUUUGUUUUUUCUUUUCUGUUUUUCCUGCUUGGAGCCUUAAGAUUUUAAGCUACGGAAACCGCUUAAUAAUGGCUGUUCUAUACCUCAAUUGAAACAGCGUUAUCAGGGAGACGACAUCCCAUGCAUCCUUAACCAAGGGAAGUCAACAUAGUCACUGGCUAGACUAAAAAAAAAAA